rnacentral:sRNA from 1 species
ACUUUUUUUCGCCCAUUUAAAUUAAAGAAGCAACUACAGAUAUACAAGGCCGAAAGACGACCAAUCUACAGCCGAAAAGGAUGUGCCUGCCAACACAAAAGCGGUUCAUUAAUUGAAUGGGGAAUUACAACAAAGUCAGCGAUAAGUUGUCUAGCCAACCACCGGGCGAGCACUCAGCCAUUCAGCCACUCAACCACUCAACCACUCGAACAAUCAACCACUCAACCUGCUGUGUACCGUGUCCUGUGUCCCGUGUCCUGUGUCGGAGUCCGAGUCGGAGACAAACCGCAUUUCUUGGAGCAGGCAGCUGGCCGAAACCCUGGCAACAAAAUGGUCUCCAGUUUCAAGGGUAAUACAAGACGAUAAUUGGAAUCGGAAAAGCAAAGUGCAGUGGACAGCGAGGUGUAUAAUCAUCACUCAAAUUAUGCCUACAGCUCGUACAUAUUUAUAGCAUUGCAAAUUUAAAUGAUAAAUGCUUACACGAAAUGUAACAUACAAAUAAAGGAAUUAAAUAAAAUUUAAA